rnacentral:rRNA from 1 species
UACGAAGGGGGCUAGCGUUGCUCGGAAUUACUGGGCGUAAAGGGAGCGUAGGCGGAUAGUUUAGUCAGUUGUGAAAGCCCUGGGCUCAACCCAGGAAGUGCAUCUGAUACUGUCGAGCUUGAGUAUGAGAGAGGGUAGUAGAAUUCCUGGUGUAGUGGUGAAAUACGUAGAUAUCAGGAGGAAUACCGGUGGCGAAGGCGGCGAUCUGGGUCGAUACUGACGCUGAGGUGCGAAAGCGUGGGGAGCAAACAGG